CUGGCCUUAACUCCCUCACCCCCGACGGAAUCUCUUGGCUGCUGUGUUUGAGAUUCUUACGUGAAAUGGGUUUUAAGCAGUGAUCUGAUCCACGGAGACGUGGGGGCUGCUUUCUGAGAUUCACACCCUUGUGUAAUUCCCUCCUUUGAGUGUGAGCUGAAUCGGUGACUCGUUUCAAAUCAACAGAAGACUGCAAAAUCGAUGGGAUGCGUGUGAUCACAUGUUCAGGAUUAUGGGACGUAAGACGGUGCUGUCUCCUGCCGGGGCACGCUCUCUCUGUCUCUCUCUCCCUUGAUGCUUUUGAGGAAGGAAGCUGCCAAGUUGUGAGCUGCCCUCGGGCCACAUGGCAUGGAACUGAAGCUGUCCCAUGGAACUAGGAGCUGUGGAUGAGAACUCAGCCCCAGCCGACACCUUGACUGCAGCCUCCCAGAGCACCCAGCUAAGCUGUGUCCGGACCGACAGAACCCGUGAGCCAUACCCGUGUGCUGUUUCAAGCUGCUAAGUGUUGGUAAUAGUUAGGCAGCAACUGAAAAUUAAUACAGAAACUUAUCCUGCUGUGGGGUGGAGAACGGAUUUUAGCGGCAAAGAGGCUACCGUCCAGGGAGAUGGUGAGGUCAGGGGAGAAGAAAGGCUGUUGAAGACUUGCACUCUCUUGUUUUUUAAGAAAAUGACUUUUUAGUCCCAGCUCACCAAUGCAAUUCUUAGAGCAUCGGCUUGGAUGGGCUGGUCUCACAAAAUUGAUCACCUGGGACAGAAAGCACACCAUCUAUUGCUUUGGAGAUGUUGUGAAAGGAAGACAACUUGUGUUCCAAGUUUGACUCUGUACCCGGCACAUAGGAUGCUGCAGGGACCCCAGAGAUGGCAGAGGCACGAGAUGGAAGGAGCCCGCAUCCUUGAAUCAUCGUACAUCAACCCAGAGAACCCAUUUUCCACCCAGAUGUGAAAACUCAGGUCUGGAAAGAGACAGUCACGUGAGUGAGCAAGAACGUGGGAGAUUAUUUGUUACAGCACCUGGCAUUACCCUAACCCGGUGGGUCUCAACGGGAGGUCGUUUUGUCUCCCAGGGGACAUUUGGCCAGGUUUGGAGACAUUAUUGACCGUUACAACUGGGGAAGAGGGAGCUACACUGGCCUCUGGUGGGUGGAGACCAGAGAUGCCGCUCAACAUCCUACAAUGCACAGCAUGGCCCCCACAACAAAGAAUUAUCCAACCCCCAAUGUCAACAGAAACCUUGUCCUAACUAAAUGAACUCCUCACACAGAACCAUUUUAUUUAUAUUUCUCCCGUGCCAUUGGGCACAUUCACCUUUCUCAGCCAAGGAGAGAGAAGGGUUGUUCAGUUUAGGGCAGGGCAGGGCAUUCCUGGGGUGGGACCCUGCUGAGAAUAGAGUUGGCUUAGCAGCCACUGCUUGUUUUGGCUUUGCCAAAUGGGUGGAC
rnacentral:lncRNA from 1 species